rnacentral:lncRNA from 1 species
ACUUGUAGAAUUAUCUUUGUUGUCUCUAUGAUAACUACUUUAUGAUUGAUUUUUCAAGUUUUCAGUUUUUCUGCUACCAUUUUUUACACAAUUGGUGACCUAUCUGUAGGCAGACCAGGCUACCAAGUUCCAUGUCUACAACGUCCAGAAAAUGAAUAACUAUUUGAAGCUUUUCUACUUGCUGACUUGUAGAAUUAUCUUUGUUGUCUCUGUGAUAACUACUUUAUGAUUGAUUUUUCAAGUUUUCAGUUUUUCUGCUACCAUUUUUUACACAAUUGGUGACCUAUCUGUAGGCAGACCAGGCUACCAAGAUCCAUGUCUACGGCGUCCAGAAAAUGAAUAACUAUUUGAAGCUUUUCUACUUGCUGACUUGUAGAAUUAUCUUUGUUGUCUCUGUGAUAACUGCUUUAUGAUUGAUUUUUCAAGUUUUCAGUUUUUUUACUACCAUUUUUUACACAAUUGGUGACCUAUCUGUAGGCAGACCAGGCUACCAAGUUCCAUGUCUACAACGUCCAGAAAAUGAAUAACUGUUUGAAGCUUUUCUACUUGCUGACUUGUAGAAUUAUCUUUGUUGUCUCUGUGAUAACUGCUUUAUGAUUGAUUUUUCAAGUUUUCAGUUUUUCUGCUACCAUUUUUUACACAAUUGGUGACCUAUCUGUAGGCAGACCAGGCUACCAAGUUCCAUGUCUACAGCAUCCAGAAAAUGUAUCAUC